CAUUUCAGUAUGGGAUAAGCUCUAUUGGUAGAAAAUGAGACUCUUAAUCUCAAGGUCAUGGGUUCGAGUCCUACACUGGGCAAAAGA